rnacentral:rRNA from 1 species
AGCCAGACUCCUACGGGAGGCAGCAGUGGGGAAUAUUGGGCAAUGGGCGCAAGCCUGACCCAGCAACGCCGCGUGGAGGAAGAAGGCUUUCGGGUUGUAAACUUCUUUUAAGAGGGAAGAGCAGAAGACGGUACCUCUUGAAUAAGCCACGGCUAACUACGUGCCAGCAGCCGCGGUAAUACGUAGGUGGCAAGCGUUGUCCGGAUUUACUGGGUGUAAAGGGCGUGUAGCCGGGCUGACAAGUCAGAUGUGAAAUUCCGGGGCUCAACCCCGGACCUGCAUUUGAAACUGUUGGUCUUGAGUAUCGGAGAGGCAGGCGGAAUUCCUAGUGUAGCGGUGAAAUGCGUAGAUAUUAGGAGGAACACCAGUUGCGAAGGCGGCUCUCUGGACUGUAACUGACACUGAGGCACGAAAGCGUGGGGAGCAAACAGGAUUAGAUACCCGCGUAC